AUUGAACGCUGGCGGCAGGCCUAACACAUGCAAGUCGAACGCGUGGCGGACGGGUGAGUAAUGUCUGGGAAACUGCCUGCUGGCGGGGGAUAACUACUGAAAAGGGUUGCUAAUACCGCAUAACCUAGGAUGUGCCCAGAUGGGAUUAGCUAGUAGGUGGGGUAACGGCUAACCUAGGCGACUAUCCCUAGCUGGUCUGAGCGGAUGAUCAGCCACACUGUAACUGAGACACGGUCCAGACUCCUAGGGGCGGUAGCAUUGGUGAAUAUUGCACAAUGGGCGAAAGCCUGAUGCAGCCAUGCCGCGGGUGUGAAGAAGGCCUUCGGGUUGUAAAGCACUUUCAGCGGGGAGGCGUUACCCGCAGAAGAAGCACCGGCUAACUCCGUGCCAGCCGCCGCGGUAAUAC
rnacentral:rRNA from 1 species